rnacentral:tRNA from 1 species
GCCGCGGUGGCGGAACUGGUAUACGCGCUGGACUUAAAAUCCAGUGGUUGCAAAACCUUGUGGGUUCGAGUCCCACCCGCGGCA